rfam:Helianthus annuus linkage group 14, whole genome shotgun sequence.
GAUUGAAGUGAUGAUUUAUUUUACCCAAUAUUGUCUGCACUAUGGUAUGAUGAUCUAUAAUACAUGCACUACCAUCUGAUCAAUC